ensembl:lncRNA
GGGAGAUGUGCUUUUGUUGUUUUUGAAGAAAGCCUUGGGAGCCUGCAUGUGCGGGACUGUUCAGUGGAAGGGUAGGAGAUGGAGAUGUGGAUGUCGGACUGCCUGAAGCAGAGGAGGACACAGCUCACUGUGACAGCCGUUUUGUUGGAUGCUUUUCUAACUGACUUGGAAUCUUUGGACUAAACUCCUGCAGCCCUGGUGUAACAAACUUAAAGCCUAUUGUCUAACUGCGUUGUAGCUGUUCAUUCAGCAUUCAGUUCCCAAUUUUGUUUUUUUUAAUACAAGGGUGUAUUCAGAUGGGUGUGCGUAUAUAUCAGUAUGUGUGUAUAUGCACUCCUGCUAUACAUGGAGAGCAUGUAUUAUUAUUAUUAGUAGUAGUAGUAGUAGAAGUAGUAGUAUUAUAGUAUUAUUAUUUAUUUUUUUACUUUUUUCUUUCUACUUUGUUUAACACAUUUGGAAAAUCAAUAAAUACAUUUUUGAAAAAUAAAACAAAACAAACAAACAAACAAACAUGGAGGCUCCAAACUGUGUCACCGUCCUGGGUCUGUGACCUGGUGUUUAUCUAUUUGGACAUGUAGAUUCUGUCGUAUUUAAAAGUUUAGUUUAUGUUCCUGUUUUUGGUUCUUAUGCUUGUGUGCUUUGUGUAGUAUUUCUAUUUUCUGGUGUUAGUUUUCCACGUUCAGUCACUCUUGUCUUUGUGUUUGUCUCUGUCUUGUCCCCGUGGUUUAUGUUCCCUUCUGUCUCCCCGGUCUGUUGUGUCUCCUUGUCGGGUUACUCCCAGUCCUAGUGUUAAGUUCAUGUGUCGUGGGACUAUGUUCCAAUUUAGGGGCUGCAUCCUUCGGAGGACCUGGCCUUUGCGGUCUACGUGGGCCGGAAGACCAAGAACGCCGGAAGUGCAAGGCUGUGAAAUUAGACAGCCUGGCCUUCAGAUUUGGGUCACCAGCUAUCUCAGUGGAGUUUAAUAAACUCAGCCAUCUGCUCCUUGCUAUCAAAAAUAUAACAGGACAUUGGAGUAAAUUCUCUACCAUCUCACACUUCUGUUUAAUCAGUUUUCUGUUUGACGUUUAUUCAGCUGUGUGAAAACUACAACUUUAACCUCAGCCAAACCAAUUUAGUCAGGAACAAAUAAAACACUGAAAAAAGCCAGACAGUAACAUUUUUAAGUGACUUCUAUAUCGUGUUUAAACUGAGUAGUGUCUGAAAGCGAUGUGCUGGGAGUCUGGUGUUCUCGCCUGCUCUAGCCUUCAGCAUCUGGUCAGCUAUUGAGCUGGUGAGUAACAGAUAUCUCCGAAAACAUUGGAGCACUUUUGCAAAUAUGGGAUGUCUUGAUAAACCGAACAGAUAUUUAUUGAAAAGAAUUAUAAAAGUAAAAUUACAACCAAGUAGCUGCCGCCAUUGCUGGAAACUGGAAUUGGCUGGGCCACGCUAUGAAUUCUGUGAUAUGUUGGGCCACGAAGGAUACACUCGACCCAUCCUUCAAAUUCGGAAUUGGGACAUAGAAUUAGUCUGUGUCUCGGUGUUAGUUUCUGUUUUACUUUGAUAGUUUCCAUCUUCCCCUGUCUCAUCAAUCUGAUUAGUGUCAGCUGUGUUCCCUCGUUAUCCUCUGUGUGUAUAUUGUCUGUGUUCCCCUGUGUUCACCUUCACUGUAGGUAGUGGUUCUGUCCGUUUGUUUGCCUUCCUGUCAGUGAAUCUGUUUAUUUUGUGUUUGUGACCUUUUUAGUUGGGUCUUUUGCCCUUUGUUGCCUGUUUUUCCAGCAUUAAAGCUGUGAUUUUGAGUCCUUUGUUUUGGGAUCUACAGCUCUCCCUGGCACACACCUACAGUCAUAGCUGGACUGGCCAUCGGGCAUUUGCCCGGUGGGCCGCUGGCAAUUUUUUGUUUUUAUGGGCCGAUGUUUUUUUUUUUUUUUUAGGAAGGGUAUAUAUAAUGAAAGGUGUUGGAUUGGCCAAUUGGUCAUGAUCGACUCUGGGCUGGACCAAUUACAGCCGAGGAGGCUGAAUGCACCCGACCCCUUGUUUAGCAAUCACGUGAUUUUCGCGCAUUGCAUGCCGGGAACUCGUGGCAAAACAAUCCAAGUACCGCAUCAAAUGCAAGCGUUUGCAGCACUGCAAAACGUUCAUUCUCCGGUUCCAAUAAAUUCUUGUUUUUUCUUUGCCGCACAAAAAAGGUAUGUACAAAACAAAAGGAGAACAAUGCCGGUCCGUACAAAGACAGACUCGACGAAAAGACAAAGAAAAGAUACGAGGAAAAAAUCAAAGGUGUGAAAGGGUCAGACCCUUAGGAGCACACAGAGGGACAAAAGACGUUAGCGUGCUGCCCAACUUUCACCACGCUCAUAUUUAUAAUUACACGGUUCUUGGAGUGAGUGCAUACACUCAUGAAGUUUAGUAACUUCAGGUCACUGCAACAAGCCCAGGUACAGUUUACCGACGGAUGGGUACAGGACCUUGAAUCAGAAUCAGAAUCAGAAUGGGGUUUAUUGCCAAAUGUUGAGCAGGUUUACAAC